GACGAACGCUGGCGGCGUGCUUAACACAUGCAAGUCGAACGGAAAGGCCCUGCUUUUUUGCUGUUCUCGAUUGGCGAAGGGGUGAGUAACACGUGAGUAACCUGCCCUUGACUUUGGGAUAACUUCAGGAAACUGGGGCUAAUACCGGAUAGGAUCUCCUGCUGCAUUGUGGGGGUUGGAAAGUUUCGGCGUUUGGGGAUGGACUCGCGGCUUAUCAGCUUGUUGGUGGGGUAGGGGCUUACCAAGGCUUUGACGGGUAGGCGGCCUGAGAGGGUGACCGGGCACAUGGGGCCUGCGGUACGGCGCAGAGUCGUAUGGGAGGCAGCAGUGGCGAAUAUUGCACAAUGGGAGGAAGCGUGAUGAAGAAACGCCGCGUGCGGGAUGACGGCCUUUGGGUUGUAAACCGCUUUCGCCUGUGACGAAGCGUGAGUGACGGUAAUGAGUAAAGAAGCACCGGCUAACUACGUG
rnacentral:rRNA from 1 species